rnacentral:lncRNA from 1 species
AGAUAUUGAGCAUGAAAUAGAUUGAUGAUUACAUGACUUGAUGGUGUAUGUUUUGAGAUUGAAAUUGGCUGAAAAUAUGGUAUAUUGAUGCUUGAAUGAUGCUUGUAAGGAGGACUCAAAUUGGGUGGCAUUUUGACCUUGUAAAUGGCCUAUUUUGUGCCCACAUAAGGCAGGGACACGGGCGUGUAUCUCUGUCGUGUUGCUCGAGGGCCACUUCAAAGUGAGUCUGGUAGACC